GCCUAAUUCGUCAUACGCGUGGUUUCACAGUGACUGUAGUUCAGUCGUGUGCUCGUGAUAUCUCAAGCGUCUACGGACGCUCGGUACAGGUGCUAGGGUCUAUACAAGCGUCUACGGACGCUCGAGACUAUUGUCGGACAAAGUCCGAGAAAUUUACAGCGUCUACGGACGCUCGGUACAUGUGCUAGGAUAUAUAAAGGCGUCUACGGACGCUCGAGAAACUUCUACGGGAGUUUUCUCUUAAAACAAAUGCCUCAAAUUCGUCAUCUAAAAUUGUCGGACAAAGUCCGAGAAAUAUACGGCGUCUACGGACGCUCGAGAAACUUCUACGGGAGUUUUCUCUUAAAACAAAUGACUCGAACUCGUCAUCUAAAAUUGUAUGACAAAGUCAGAGAAAUAUACAGCGUCUACGGACGCUCGGUACAUGUGCUAGGAUAUAUAAAAGCGUCUACGGACGCUCGAGAAACUUCUACGGGAGUUUUCUCUU
rnacentral:lncRNA from 1 species